GAUCGCCGCCCCCAUCCUCUGCGCCACCUCUCCGUCGUCUUCCGGCCGCGUGUGGUUGGGGCGGCCACGGGUGGAAACCGGGAGAAGGGAGCCCCCUUGUCGCGGUCCUCCGCCACCUCGCGGAUCGGCCCCUUCGCAGCUUCGGCCAUGGUGGCAGCAAUACCUUGGCCCCUCGGGAGAAACUGCUCGAUGGGGCCCUCUCGAUGGACGCUGAUCACCGGGGUAGGCGCCCGCGCGGCCACAUCUUCGACGAGCCAUGAUGUUUGAGGAAUUGAGUAUGUGUUUGUGAUAUUGCCUAUGCCGGUGAGCUUACUCAGCCCGGCAUGACAACCACGACCAGACACAUAGUCAAGUACCUCGCUGGCAAGGCCAAGGCGUACGUGAAUGAGUCACACCGACGCUUCUGCGGCGCACAUCAUGGUGUUCAGCCACCUCAGGCCAGGGGACCUUGAACAAUGGUAUUUCUGUGCUGAGAGGACACUGCACCAAGUUUAGGUAACCAGUUUAGCGUCAUACUCCUCAAGGAUCUUUUGGUGGUAUGGUGCCGACGACGGCAUGGCUCUGUUAAGUUAUUUAGGUAACCAGUUAGGCUUUUCUUCUGAAUUUCCUUUUCAGAAGGGCAUGUUUGGAGUUCGGACACAAGGGUAAAAGUAUUGCUUUUGCGUCCCAGAAAUAUUGAUCUAUUUGCCUUGACGAGAGGAUGUCACGGGGCAGAUCCUUCAAUUUGUGCGUCUGCCAUCUAUCUUUGGACAGUUCCUGAUGUGACACAAGCACUACAGAACACUGAAUCUACAUUUCUUGAAUUACGAUGGUAUCAUGACAAAUGAGACUGAGUGAUCGCCACCAAAGACAACAUUCGCUGAUGAGGUCAUGUUUUUAUAUGAGAAAAAGCCUUGAGAGCUGCUGAGAGAGGCCCUGUCGUGAAUUGCUGACCGGCUGUUGAGCAUGACUCUGAAAAAUCUUCAGAGAUUGUUAGUGGGACUGUUAUUUUCAUGGAGUAAAAUGACAAAAUACAUUAAGGCCAUGGUGCCCAUGGAGUUCUCUUCACCUACGACUAGAUCUAUUACAAGCAAUGUAGGUAAUUUGGUGUGCAAAUUAGUCAUCACCCUUGAUACCUUUUUUACCAACUCAUAGCAUUUUGUAUAUAUUUUAUUAUGUACAUCCUGCAUAGAUAUCGAGCACAGCAGAGAUCCUUAGAACCAUUACAACAGAAUUGUUCAUUCCACACUUUCAUUGCUUAUGAAAACUAAUGGUGCAAACCAUGUUAUUGUUGCUUCUUCCUAUGAUAAAUUUUGGUCACAAGGAUACUUGUAUAUUUACCUCGAAUCUGUGAUAGAUGAUUGAUGUAAGCUGCCACUGGAGUAGGAAUGCAAUAAAAGGUCCAGAAUUAUGUUCUUCUUAAUACUUCUGAUGUUCACUCAUGAUUUAAUGUUUCUCUCUUGAGACGACAAACCACUUUUGUGGAAAAGAAACUCCAUUCGUUGCUAAGGACCAAAUCAUACAUAUCAGAUCCAUUUACUCGCUGGAAAGAAAUGGACAAGGGGAUCAGUUUACACGUAAUAGGAAGUACUUGUGCUAGGAAGUAGUACGUGAUCUAAAUCUCCGAUUGCCAGGAUAGCUAUUAGUAAAAAAAAGGUUAUUGCUGACAAAGAAAAUUGCAUGUGCCUAUAUGUUUUUAGCUCAAAAUCAUACUUGAGAUAAAUUGAUGUUGCUGUCUGAUUUAGCAUAUCCUGUAUCAGACAAUGCCUUUUGCUUUGAUUGCGCUUUUUUGGAAGUGGUUACACAUUCAAAGAUUUGUUCACUAUAGAUAUGAUUUGUUUAAAUGUAGUUUUAUAAGUUUAUAUACCAAGAACUGAAUUUACCUUACCGAGCCAAGGCACUGACUUCUCAUAUGCAUAUAUGUGUGCCAUAGAUGUCAGGUAACACCCGUGAGUGAAUUCAUCUCAUCCUCAAUGCCUUCUAUUCUCUACCAAGAGGUAAUUAAUGCUUUGCUUCCACGAUCUGAUGAAAGUCUGGAUGAAGGUGCUCUAUUUUGUGUGUUUUAGUCACAUGGGAUUCCUACAUGAUCACCAUGGGCACUGUCCUGAGGUUGGUUGGAGCAACAAGAUCUUAUGUUGCCACUAACUUCUAUUGCAAUUCUUUGUGUACCUGACUUCAUGAGACUAAUGUGAAAAUCAGCUCUCAGCCAGAGAACACUUUUUUCCAGCAGUACGAGCUCCCAGGAGAUAGUUAAGUUCAUGAUUUUUUUUUCGUGGUCAUUGUUGAUUUAUUAUGGUUAGUGGUCAUCUGAGAAUAAGGAGGGGCAUGCCUUCCACAACUGUCUGUAGUCCAGAUUACAAGUAUAGACCAUCGAGGUCCUAAUUGCCUCAUUUAUAUAUACCACAAUUGUCACUAUAUCUCUUAAAUAAUUGUGCUAUAUACCACAAUUGUCAAUGUAUCACGUCAUCCGCUGUUCUGAA